AAAAGAAUUAACUAAGAAAAAAGUCAAAGUGUCUUAUAAUAUAAAACGGAGAUAUGACUACUGGGGGAAACAUUGUACUAGUAUUUUCAGUAAAAUAAAAAUGAAACAGAGGGAAUAGUUCUUACAAGGGCAUAAUGACUUAAUUAAGCUUAGCUUACAAAACUUAGAACUGAUAUGGCAUAAUGAGAAUUUUCAGUACCUAUUUUGAGAUGAACAAUACACUCAUGUUUUAGCUAAUAGUAGUGGUCAUUGGAUUCUUGUGAUUAUUUUAGUCCAGCCUAAUAGUGGAACAAUUGAAAAGUAAAAGUUAUGCAAAAAAAUGUGCUGUACUCAUCUCAUUGAAUAUGUGUCAUUACAUAUUUCUUGCACCAGACCAGUAGUUCCAUGAGAAGUCCAUCUUAAGAGUAAGCCACAUCAUUGCUUAUGGGCUUUUGGCCCAGAUAAGUCAUACGCGUGUGCUCAGAACAAAAUACAAGAUGAGAGAGUGAUGCCGGUUUUAUCCCACGCGCCUUUCCAUUUUUGCAUGCCACCCAUACAACACAAAUACAACCUUCACAAUUUUCUCAUUGCUUCCCUCUCUCGCAUUACCAAUCAACAAAUCCUCGUGCUUGUUGGUAGCAUCCCCAAAACCCUAGCGGCCGCGCCACUUCGUCCCCCUUGCUUUGUGCCGAACAUGGAGGGCGAACCCUCGUGCCGCCUCUCUUUGUUGGACCGGUGCGGUGAUGGGAGCGAGAAUCCGGUGGUUCCACCGCGAGUCCCCUCCAUCCUCAACCUCGCCUCCCACAAGUGCCUCGACCAAUCGAAAUUCCUACCGUUGAUCCACCCUGCUCCUGCCCACUUCACCUCUUCGACGGUAUCUGCCUUGUCCCCCUGCUCGGAACCACCACUAUCGGCUUCUAUGGUACGAAGUUGGCAGUGGCUUUGCACCCGAAGACUUUUACUUGUUCUUUCCUAAUACUUUUUUCUCAGUGGAAUCCAUCGUUCCACCUCCAUAUGAUGCCAUAGAUGUGCCACCGAUGACCUCUCUUGCACUGCAUUCGACGAGAUCUAACCAGGGGCCGCCUAGCAGGCUACCGCUUAUGGUGGGGCAUAGGCGGUCGCAUAGUUACAUCCUCUUAGGGUAUUCACAUCAAAACCCGCAAAUGCUACCUAUAGCAUCAGUUAAGACAAAGGUCACAACGACCGAGGGGCAUCAAUCGGGGGGCAUGGUGGCUGCUGUCCUUAAGGACAUGGGCAUACAGGCAUGGAGCCCUUCUGGAAGCAGAGAGAAUGAAGCUAAGAGCUCUGGUGCUGGCAGUACAACCCACCAUUGCCACAGCUCGUCGGUUGACAGCUUCAUGAUGGGGAACCUCAAUUUUGGAGCUGUUGGACAGCAGAUGUCCAGCCCCCCUCUGCUAACUAUAGAGGCAAAUGGUGGUGAAGGCGAGUCCAUUGCCAAAUGUGAAAUUCACUGAGGAUGAUAAGAAGAAGGUUGUGGCGGAUAAAUUCCUCUCAGAGAUUGUCUUGACUGAUCCUAGGAGGGUCAAGAGGAUCCUGAACAAUCGAUCAUCUGCCGCAAAGUCAAAGGAGAAAAAGAUGAAGUAUAUAGGGGAGCUUCAACACAAAUUCUAGGUGUUGCAGUUGGAGACUGCUACAUUAUGAGCACAAGUGGCAAUGAUGCAGAGGAACAACAAUGGACUUGUAUCUCUGAACAAUGAGCUAAAAACCAGACUGCAAGCAAUGGAUCAGCAAGCACAGUGGGGAGAUGCUCUGACUGCAAGAUUGACUGCUGAGGCUGAGCACCCAAGAGUUGUUGUUGGUGAGAUCAGUGAUCCUCAUGUGCCAAGUGGUUCACACCAACAACAGAGCUCUUACAUGGACAAACUGCAGCAGCUGCUUACACAGAGGCAACCAUCACAAACCCAACAAAAUCAGCCACAAUAAUAUGUGGAACUUUUAGGGUGAUUUCUCAUUAGAGACUUUUGAAAGGCUUAUUGAUUUUUUUUUUGCUAAAUGUUGAGUAAUACAUGUGUGGAGACUUUCAAUGUACAACUAGAAGAUACCCCGUGCGUUGCUGCAG